UACGUAGGGACCGAGCGUUGUCCGGAAUCAUUGGGCGUAAAGAGCGUGUAGGCGGCCUUUUAAGUCCUGCGUGAAAUCCUGCGGCUCAACCGCAGACGGUCGUGGGAAACUGGAAGGCUAGAGUGCGGGAGAGGAGAGUGGAAUUCCCGGUGUAGCGGUGAAAUGCGCAGAUAUCGGGAAGAACACCCGCGGCGAAGGCGGAUCUCUGGGCCAUUACUGACGCUGAGGAGCGAAAGCGUGGGGAGCGAACAGG
rnacentral:rRNA from 1 species